AGGUCAUAGUGAUCCGGUGGUUCUGAAUGGAAGGGCCAUCGCUCAACGGAUAAAAGGUACUCCGGGGAUAACAGGCUGAUACCGCCCAAGAGUUCAUAUCGACGGCGGUGUUUGGCACCUCGAUGUCGGCUCAUCACAUCCUGGGGCUGAAGUAGGUCCCAAGGGUAUGGCUGUUCGCCAUUUAAAGUGGUACGCGAGCUGGGUUUAGAACGUCGUGAGACAGUUCGGUCCCUAUCUGCCGUGGGCGCUGGAGAACUGAGGGGGGCUGCUCCUAGUACGAGAGGACCGGAGUGGACGCAUCACUGGUGUUCGGGUUGUCAUGCCAAUGGCACUGCCCGGUAGCUAAAUGCGGAAGAGAUAAGUGCUGAAAGCAUCUAAGCACGAAACUUGCCCCGAGAUGAGUUCUCCCUGAGACUUAGAGUCUCCUGAAGGAACGUUGAAGACGACGACG
rnacentral:rRNA from 1 species